UACCCGCAGCAGGAUUCGAACCUAUAACUUCCGGUGACCAAUCGGAUAGUCCCAGGCAGUUAACCCCUCUGCCAUACGGGC